CCCUUAGUCCUUCUAGUGCAAUGUGGUUACUUCGAUUCAUUGCACUGGCCGGUCCAGGGUU
rnacentral:pre_miRNA from 1 species